rnacentral:rRNA from 1 species
UACGAAGGGUGCAAGCGUUAGUCGGAAUUACUGGGCGUAAAGCGUGCGUAGGUGGUUUCUUAAGUCGGAUGUGAAAGCCCUGGGCUCAACCUGGGAAUGGCACUCGAUACUGGGAAGCUAGAGUGCGGUAGAGGAGGGUGGAAUUCCCGGUGUAGCGGUGAAAUGCGUAGAGAUCGGGAGGAACAUCAGUGGCGAAGGCGGCUUUCUGGACAGAUACCGACGCUGAGGCACGAAAGCUAGGGGAGCAAACAGG